GAUGAACGCUGGCGGCGUGCUAACACAUGCAAGUCGAACGGUGAAGGCGGAGCUUGCUCUGCUGGAUCAGUGGCGAACGGGUGAGUAACACGUGAGCAAUCUGCCCCUGACUCUGGGAUAAGCGCUGGAAACGGCGUCUAAUACUGGAUACGAGCUGCGAAGGCAUCUUCAGCAGCUGGAAAGAACUUCGGUCAGGGAUGAGCUCGCGGCCUAUCAGCUUGUUGGUGAGGUAACGGCUCACCAAGGCGUCGACGGGUAGCCGGCCUGAGAGGGUGACCGGCCACACUGGGACUGAGACACGGCCCAGACUCCUACGGGAGGCAGCAGUGGGGAAUAUUGCACAAUGGGCGAAAGCCUGAUGCAGCAACGCCGCGUGAGGGACGACGGCCUUCGGGUUGUAAACCUCUUUUAGCAGGGAAGAAGCGAAAGUGACGGUACCUGCAGAAAAAGCGCCGGCUAACUACGUG
rnacentral:rRNA from 1 species